UGAAAAACUAUGGCUAAGAAGGUGGCCUCCUGGAAGGUCAAGGAUGGUAGCAACAUGUCCAGGUGGGCACCUAGACACAUUCCUUUUCUGAGAAAUUGGAGAGAAUUAUGACAAACCCAGACUGUGUGAUGGAUACAGAGAGUGGCACCUGGCAGGGUUCUGAGAAGGGAGGAGAUGACUUAUCUGCAGACCCAACUCUGAUUCCAGGGAGAUUCAAACCCAGCCCUCUGUCCUCCAAGAGACCUACGAUUCCUAGAUUCCAAGUUCAGAAGAGGCCAUUUUGAACAUAUAGUCUGACCUCCUGACAUCUGAAUAACUCUUUCCUGAGUCUCAUGACCUGUCUGGAGACACACAGGCCAACCCACGCCAGAUGACAGAUCAAGGAGGUGGCAUUGGAGGAGAUGCCAUCGCAGCCUGGCCCUUCCACUUUCACCGCUGCUGGGCUAGAAGACCCGUGACAGCAAUGGAGGGGCCACAGAACUCUGACACAAGGAAGGGAAGAUAAGGGAGGAUAUGCAUCAGGACCUACAAAUUAACACUAGCCAGAGAUCUGACCACUCGUUCAGAUAUCAGUCUACAUUGGAAGAGGAAGACCAACACUAUGACUGUCAGACUAGUGCUGAGUUAUCUGCAACAUGAUAAAGAGAUGGAAAGGGAAGGCAAGGAAUUCCAGAGAUAAAUGUUUGAGAGAUUUUUUUGAGGUGACUGGAGAGAGAUUCUCAAGCAAGUCUGCUGUCCCUAUCAAUGUCCUGUGCAAGCUAUGCCUGCUCCCUCAUGUCUGCACUACUCCAGAAUUUGAAGAACUCGACCAUUUGGGGAGAGAAAGAAGCAACUGUUACCCUAUAUACUACACUUCUGUGCAGAGGAAAGGGAAAGAAAAACACCAUGCAACUGCGAUGAAUUUCCAUUACCUUUAAAGAAUCUGAUGUUCCUUAUGGGUGAAAAAGAAUGCAUUUAUAAUUGAGGGGAUAUGCAGUGUUUAUACUAAGUUGUUCUAUAAGCUAAUGCAUUUGGAUUACACUGGUAGUACUGCACUGUUUGAUUAUGUGAGGUGAAAAGAGUGGAUGCCUUUUGAAAAGUUCUGUACAGUUCCAUGGUUUCACAACCUUCUUUGUGUUGUGCUGUUUUGCUCUAAAGUUUGUGUUUUUAAUAAAGUUUAUGUUCAAACCAGAA